ACCUGACUGGCUCAGUCGGUAGAGCACGUGACUCUCAAUCUCAGGGUUGUGAGUUUGAGCCCCACUCUGGGUG
rnacentral:tRNA from 1 species